rnacentral:rRNA from 1 species
UACGUAGGGUGCGAGCGUUGUCCGGAAUUAUUGGGCGUAAAGAGCUCGUAGGCGGUCUGUCGCGUCGAAUGUGAAAACCCGGGGCUCAACUCCGGGCUUGCAUUCGAUACGGGCAGGCUAGAGUUCGGUAGGGGAGUCUGGAAUUCCUGGUGUAGCGGUGAAAUGCGUAGAUAUCGGAAGGAACAUCAGUGGCGAAAGCGACUUCCUGGACCAGUACCGACGUUCAGGCACGAAAGCGUGGGGAGCAAACAGG